UGUUAGGGUCACUUUCACAAACGCCGAUUAACUGUUAACGGGAGGUUAAUAGGUUUUCUGUCUCUCCUUAGAUAAUAAUAUAGAGAAAGAUAGGUAGUCGAUUAACCUUCCGUUAGCAGUUAACCGACGUUUGUAAAACUGGCCCUAAAGCUCGGUUUCACAACUCACGGUUAAAUUAACUGGCCGAUUAUUCCAUUGGAAUUGACCAAUCGUAUUUGUCGUUAAGCAAAAUUAACAAAUACGAUUGGUCAAUUCCAAUGAAAUAAUCGGCCAGUUAAUUUAACCGUGAGUUGUGGAACCGGGCCUUAAGUAGUAAAUCCAAGGUUUACAGAGUCAGUUUUGACGUAUGCGCGUGUAUGUGUCAAACAAUAUAUAUUGUAUAAAUGAUUUAUAACAUUUGAUUUAAUAAAUGAAUAAAAAUUACACAAAUAACUAAAAAUAUAGUGCAUAGAGAUGAACAAGUUUCUUUAAUGUGUUUUUAUAAACGCUAUGAUUGAAUUCUCGUUCUUUGCCUUGGAAUCAUUCAGAUUUCAAUGAAAUAAAAUUAAGCAUAAGAAGCAUAAAGAAGGAAGAUUGAAAGAAAUAAGGAAGAAUAAACGAAUAUAUCAGAUAAGUAGCUAAUAUCUUUAUAAAAAAUUAUGUAUUCUAUAUGUGCUUUUUGUAGAUGAACCGAUUCUUUUCUUGAAUUAAUUUUUUGUUUCAGCUUCUCAGUCAAUCAUUUGCUUGUAGAAUGUUGACGGCUGGAGAACAAUCCCUUGCAGAGUGAAACUACCAAAUUCUAAGCCUACUACAUUCUCGAGUGUACCAAAAUUCAAGCAAGAAAUGUGUUAUCCACUCACCUUUGUAAGAAUGGGGGUUUGGAGUAGCAAUGGAAUGCAUGUCAAGGAUUAUUUUGUAAGUAAAUUUACACUAUUUGAAGUAAAAUAAUAAAUGAUCGUAAAUGGAAAACCCAUUAAGACCAUAAUAAAUAAUCAAGUUACAAGUCUAGGAACAAUAAUUAAAAAAAGAAUAGUAGUAAUAUUAAAAUGUUUAUUUACUCAUAAAUUGUUAUUUCCCUAUUAAUUUGGAUAAUUUAUAUAAGAUUAAUAAAUAGUAUCUCGUCGGUGGUUUAGUGCAUGAUAAAAAAACAGGCCUAUUAUCUUCUUAUUGAAAAUCAAACACAUGCACAAUUACCGUAUUCAGAAAGUAACGCCCUCUCAUCUCCGUCACGCUUACCGCGGCGGUCGGUAAGGCAGAGAAUCGAACGAUUCGCGUAGUGUGACAAACGAUCGAGAGAGUCCACGAUUCUAAUAUGUAACACAGGCAACGUAGUACGAAAAUAAACAGAACACCUCGUGUUUACGGAAGUUCGUAACAGGUGUUUUUCAUCCCCUCCGUCUGCGCCUCCGCCUCUGCCAUUUGCUGCAGCUUCCUCUAUCCUCUGAUCAUGGUUCGAUGGGGUGAAAGGGGCAUGGGGGAGGGGAAGGGGACACAGAAAUGCAAGCAAGGUUCGUUAAUACUUAUUCGCUUACGUAGGCACACUUGUGUUUCAUGUCUCACGGCAUAGACUCACAUAGAUUCGUGUCGGCCGUUUCGGUUACGGAUGUUUGAGUCCUUGAAUACCGUUCAAUACUAACAAUAAGAGAAUCUCGGCAUUUUUCUAAAAGUUUGAAUCUUUUCAAGUAUUAUUUUUGCACGUAACCCUCUUGCUCUCGUCGCACACUAAAUCGCAGACUAGCGAACGACCGUUAUAGGCAUCCUAAUCUACGAAUUUUCAAAGAAUAGAAAUUCUCGUCCCGAUCUCUAAAUUCCAAAUAGGUCGUAGAAAUUCCUAGGUCAAAGAUGAUGAACGUAAUUUACAAACUUCCCGUUUGUUUUGUUAUUUAAAUUACUCGUGGAAUUUAUCCUUGAUAAUAUGUUAAGUAUCCGCUCGGUCUUUAUCGCGACGCAAGAAAUAUUCCUAAAUUUCUCUAUUAGAUUGUACGCGAAAGAAAAUCUGAGAGUGACUACGAAAAUCACACUCUUAAUAACAAUUUUCGGCAAUAAAAAUCAUUAAUGAUAAUCGUAUUUUUUUCAUAAACGAAACACGAGAUUCAUCGCUUAUGAUAAUUUUAAGUUUUUUGUUUGCAUUUUUAACGCAACGUAGAAUUUUGCAGAGAUGUCUUAGAUUUGAAUAUUUAUAAUAAAAUAUAAUAGACGCAAGGCAAAAUUAACUCUGGCAAAACAACUCUGUUUUCACUCCUGAAAAGCCGAGUAGAGCAAGAGUAAAUUGAUCCUUUCUAAAUAAAA